GACGUAGGAUGCAAGCGUUGUUCGGAUUUAUUGGGCGUAAAGCGUACGUAGGCGGUUAUCUAAGUCUGGUGUUAAAGCUAGAGGCUCAACCUCUGUGUUGCACUGGAAACUGGGUGACUUGAGAACGGUAGGGGAAGGUGGAAUUCCGAGUGUAGCGGUGAAAUGCGUAGAUAUCUGGAGGAACACCGGUGGCGAAGGCGGCAUCCUGGACCGGUAUUGACGCUGAGGCGCGAAAGCUAGGGGAGCAAACGGG
rnacentral:rRNA from 1 species